rnacentral:rRNA from 1 species
AGAAUCAACGCUGGCGGCGUGCCUAACACAUGCAAGUCGAACGCGAAAGGGACUUCGGUCCUGAGUAGAGUGGCGAACGGGUGAGUAACGCGUGGGUGACCUACCCUCGAGUGGGGGAUAACGUUCCGAAAGGGUCGCUAAUACCGCAUGACAUUCCGGGUUUGAAGACCUGGAAAUCAAAGCCGGGGACCGCAAGGCCUGGCGCUAGAGGAGGGGCCCGCGUCUGAUUAGCUAGUUGGCGGGGUAACGGCCCACCAAGGCGACGAUCA